AUUUAAGUAGUUUAGUUAAAACGUUGGUUUGUGGGGCCAAAAAUAUGAAUAAUAAUUUUAUUUUAAAUU
rnacentral:tRNA from 1 species